rnacentral:lncRNA from 1 species
CCAUCUCUACUAAAAAUACAAAAAAAUUAGCUGGGCAUGGCGGCGAGUACCUGUAGUCCCAGCUGCUGGGGAGGCUGAGGCAGGAGAAUGGCGUGAACCCAGGAGGCGGAGCUUGCAGUGAGCAGAGAUUGCACCACUGCACUCCAUCCUGGGCAACAGAGCAAGACUCUGUCUCAAAAAAAAAAAAAAAAAAAAGAAAAGAAACAGAUCAAGCAGGUGGAACAUCGAUAAGCACAGAGUUGAAUUCAACAGCACCCCCAAUGAUGAAUGUCUGUAGACAACUUCAACAACAGCAGAAAACACAUUCUUGUCAAGCUCACAUGGAACACUCCUCAACCUAGACUGUAUUUUGGGACAUAAAACACCUUAACAAGUUUAAAAGAAUAUCGUACAUCAUAUGCUCUUAGACAAUACUGGAAUUAAAUCAGCAUUGCCCUAAAAUAAAACAUACAGGUAUAAUUCUAACAAAAUGUGCACAAGAUCUUAGGAAAAUUGUAAAACUCUGACAGAAGAAAUCAAAGAACUAAGUGGAUAGUUAUUCCAUGUCCACGGAUAGAAGACUCAAUAUUGUCAAGACAUUGGUUCUUCCCAACUUGAUCUAUAGAUUCAACACAAUCCCAAUCAAAAUCCCAGCAAGUUAUUUGGUGGAUAUUGACAAACUCAUUGUAAAGUUUAUAUGGAGAGGUAAGAGACUCAAAAUACCAACACAGUAUUGAAGGGGAAGGUUCAAGUUGGAAGACUGACACUAUGCAUUUUCCAGGCUUUCUGGAGAGCUGUAGUCAUCAGGAGAGUGCGAUGUAGAGUAAAGCAUGUACAAAUAGGCCAGGUGUGGUGGCACAUGCCUGUAAUCCCAGCAUGUUGGGAGGCUAAGGUGGGAGGAUUGCUUGAGCUCAGGAGUUUCAGAUCACCCUGGGCAACACAGUGAGACCCCAUUUCUAAAAUUAAGAAAAAAUUAGCCAGGUGUGGAGGCUAAGGACCUUAAGACAACUCAUCUGUGAAGAUAUAGAUGGCAGAUGAGUAUAUAAAAAAUGCUCCACAUCAUGUCAUCAGGGAAAUGCAAAUUAAAACAAGAUACCGGCCAGGUGCGGAGGCUCAUGCCUGUAAUCCUAGCACUUUGGGAGGCCGAGGUGGGCGGAUCACGAGGUCGAGACUAUCCUGGCUAACAUGGUGAAACCCCGUCUCUACUAAAAAUACAAAAAAUUAGCCGGGCAUGGUGGCGGGCGCCUGUAGUCCCAGCUGGUGACACUCACGGGUCCACAUAACCUCCUUCCUGAAAUGGAAAUGAUACUUAUGGCACCGAGGCAAACCUGGGCCCUCUGGCCCAUCCCCCGAGGACAGUCUUGUGCACACACAACACAGAUGUCCAAAUCCU